UCAGGCCUAACACAUGCAAGUCGAGCGCGCCCUUCGGGGUGAGCGGCGGACGGGUUAGUAACGCGUGGGAAUAUACCCUUUGGUACGGAAUAGCCUCUGGAAACGGAGAGUAAUACCGUAUGUGCCCUUCGGGGGAAAGAUUUAUCGCCAAAGGAUUAGCCCGCGUUAGAUUAGGUAGUUGGUGGGGUAAUGGCCUACCAAGCCUACGAUCUAUAGCUGGUUUUAGAGGAUGAUCAGCAACACUGGGACUGAGACACGGCCCAGACUCCUACGGGAGGCAGCAGUGGGGAAUCUUGGACAAUGGGGGCAACCCUGAUCCAGCCAUGCCGCGUGAGUGAUGAAGGCCUUAGGGUCGUAAAGCUCUUUCGCCCGUGAAGAUAAUGACGGUAGCAGGUAAAGAAACCCCGGCUAACUCCGUGCCAGCAGCCGCGGUAAUACGGAGGGGGUUAGCGUCGUUCGGAAUUACUGGGCGUAAAGCGCACGUAGGCGGAUCGGAAAGUUGGGGGUGAAAUCCCGGGGCUCAACCCCGGAACUGCCUCCAAAACUAUCGGUCUAGAGUUCGAGAGAGGUGAGUGGAAUUCCGAGUGUAGAGGUGAAAUUCGUAGAUAUUCGGAGGAACACCAGUGGCGAAGGCGGCUCACUGGCUCGAUACUGACGCUGAGGUGCGAAAGUGUGGGGAGCAAACAGGAUUAGAUACCCU
rnacentral:rRNA from 1 species